UGAGCAAUCUGCCCUUCUCUUUGGAAUAAGCGUUGGAAACGACGUCUAAUGCCGAAUACGACCUCCUUUCGCAUGAUCGGAGGUGGAAAGCUCCGGCGGAGAAGGAUGAGCUCGCGGCCUAUCAGCUAGUUGGUGUGGGUAAUGGCCCACCAAGGCGACGACGGGUAGCCGGCCUGAGAGGGUGACCGGCCACACUGGGACUGAGACACGGCCCAGACUCCGUACGGGAGGNAGCG
rnacentral:rRNA from 1 species